rnacentral:rRNA from 1 species
GGCGAGAGACGAUAGCGAACAAGUACCGUGAGGGAAAGAUGAAAAGAACUUUGAAAAGAGAGUUAAACAGUACGUGAAAUUGUUGAAAGGGAAACGAUUGAAGCCAGUCGUACCUAUGGGUAAUCAGCCUUUCGGGUGUGAUUUUGUGGACCGUGANGAGUCUAAACGCCGGCAUNCCUGCAUAUUCGUGCACUUUGGGUGUGCUUGCCCGUGUGUAAGUUAACAUCAAUUUUGGUGGUCAUAAAGUGG